UACAGAGGGGGCAAGCGUUGUUCGGAAUUACUGGGCGUAAAGGGCGCGUAGGCGGCCUGUUAAGUCGGACGUGAAAUCUCUCGGCUCAACCGGGGAACUGCGUCCGAUACUGACGGGCUUGAAUUCGGGAGAGGGAUGUGGAAUUCCAGGUGUAGCGGUGAAUGCGCAGAUAUCAGGAGGAACACCGGUGGCGAAGGCGGGUCUCUGGGCCGAUACUGACGCUGAGGAGCGAAAGCGUGGGGAGCGAACAGG
rnacentral:rRNA from 1 species